rnacentral:rRNA from 1 species
GACGAACGCUGGCGGCGUGCUUAACACAUGCAAGUCGAACGGAAAGGCCUGCUUUCCCUUGUGGAUUGCGGGUACUCGAGUGGCGAACGGGUGAGUAACACGUGAGUGAUCUGCCCCCAACUUGGGUAUAAGCCUGGGAAACUGGGUCUAAUUCCCGAUAGGACUGCAGGGUGGUGCCUGUGGUGGAAAACGAUUUUCUAGUGGUUGGGGAUGAGCUCGCGGCCUAUCAGCUUGUUGGUGGGGUAAUGGCCUACCAAGGCGGCGACGGGUAGCCGGCCUGAGAGGGUGGACGGCCACAUUGGGACUGGGAUACGGCCCAGACUCCUACGGGAGGCAGCAGUGGGGAAUAUUGCACGAUGGGCGGAAGCCUGAUGCAGCGACGCCGCGUGGGGGAUGACGGCCUUCGGGUUGUAAACUCCUUGCGACCGCGAGGAAGCCACCUGGUUGGAAGGGUGGUGACGGUAGUGGUAGAAGAAGCACCGGCUAACUACGUG